AAGAAGGCUAUUUUUGUCAUCCAACUAUCAGUUUAGUUUUGACUAUAGAAUCGCAAAACUAUUUUUGUCAUCCAACUAUCAGUUUAGUUUUGACUAUAGAAUCGCAAAACUAGUAAUCCAACUAUUCAAACCGUUUAUAUUUGUCCAUCAAACGUUUUUGGUGGGUGAUUUUGCUGAUAUGGACGCCACCGCACCCACUUGUAAGCCCUCC
rnacentral:lncRNA from 1 species